rnacentral:misc_RNA from 1 species
AUUAUUUUCUGCUAUACAUGAAAUCAUGAAUAUCUCUCUCUACCCCAAAACAAUCCCCAGCACUCUUUGCUUCUUGCAAAUACAAUGCUAUGGAUGUGAGACCAGAAAUGAGUGUAACAAAACAUUCUUGGUUGCACACCAAAUGACUUCUGCACUAGUAAAUCAUAGAGCAGUUGGACACUUGGGCACGAGAGUCACAUUGACUGACCCAUAAGGUAAG